UACGGGGGGGGCAAGCGUUGUUCGGAAUUACUGGGCGUAAAGCGUGCGUAGACGGUUAUUUAAGUCGGAUGUGAAAGCCCCGGGCUCAACCUGGGAAUUGCAUUCGAGACUGAAUAGCUAGGGUGCGGUAGAGGGAAGCGGAAUUUCCGGUGUAGCGGUGAAAUGCGUAGAUAUCGGAAGGAACAUCAGUGGCGAAAGCGGCUUCCUGGACCAGCACCGACGUUCAGGCACGAAAGCGUGGGGAGCAAACAGGG
rnacentral:rRNA from 1 species